rnacentral:rRNA from 1 species
UACGAAGGGUGCAAGCGUUACUCGGAAUUACUGGGCGUAAAGCGUGCGUAGGUGGUUCGUUAAGUCUGUCGUGAAAGCCCCGGGCUCAACCUGGGAAUGGCGAUGGAUACUGGCGGGCUAGAGUGCGGUAGAGGAGAGUGGAAUUCCCGGUGUAGCAGUGAAAUGCGUAGAGAUCGGGAGGAACACCAGUGGCGAAGGCGACUACCUGGCCCAUUCUUGACGCUGAGGCGCGAAAGCUAGGGGAGCGAACGGG